CAGAGGUCUGUGCAGUAGCAGAAGCACGCGCCUCACUUCCGGCAGUGUUCUUUCCUGGCCUGGCAGUCAAAACAGUAGGGCGCUUCAGCAUUUUUGUUCUAUGUCCGGGAGCCACAGAAUCCUCCAGGUUUCACCUCCACUCUGAAAUCAAGAAAGAUGAUAUCAAGCUUCCAAUUUGCUGAAAACUAACGACAGUUCUGAAGUGGAUCAUUAUCUGGCACAGAUGGUGCUGGGCCAUUAGGACAAGAGUGGUCGUCUAUCACGGUGAGGAACGUAGCCAAGCAGGCCCAGCAGCAACGCUGGCACAUGUGCCACGGAUGCUUCCUCCCCGAGCCAACCUUGAAUCUGCCGGCAAGGCUAGAGACCGCUGACGCAGAUGCAGGAUCAGGCGAAGGAGCAAGUCAAUGAGAAAAAGACAGCACCUCAUCUGGCUUCUUGAGUGUCAAUGAGAAGCUGGGCGAGCGGUAUAAAGGUUUGCCCAGUUCCCGCAGUAAAAAAAAAUCUGCUUUUUCGGUCCCCAGCUCCGAAAAAAAGAAAAGAAAAGAAAAAAAAUCUGCUUUUGCCACUUGCCUGACUCCCGGAAUCUGUGUUGUUGACUCUGCGCCUUCUGACCCCUGACCCCAAGGGUCUUGGUCGGUGUGGAAAGCAACACUGAUAGACGGGUUUUCUAAUCACGUGAGUAAUGAGGUUUUGAAUCAUCUCCUGACGUGAGAAUGGAUGGGUUUCUGCUCUUGGGACUCUUCCUCCUGCUGGUUGCUGUAUCCAACUUCAAAACGAAAGUUUUUGCUUUAUCUUGUAUUUUAUUUUCUUAUGCACAGUUGUUAUCCCUUAGAAGCCUGCUAUUUUCUAAUGAGAGACAGAAAGGGAAAGGACCUGGAGGAGAGGGGAUGUCGAGAGGAGCUUAGAGGAG
ensembl:lncRNA